UAACGGUUCAUUUCAACACCCUAAACUGUGUCAGUUGACUCAGAGCUUAGACAUGGGAAAGGCCUCAGUCUGAUGAUAUGCAGCCAUGUUCCAGCAAGCUUUGCGGUACCCGUCCCAUAAUCUCAAGGGUCUGAAAAUAGGGAGAUGGCUGUGGUUUGGGGGGAGCUCUCUACAGCUGCCGGACUGCCAUUUAUUUUGUUAACUUAAACCCAAAUAAUUCCUGUCAGGAUCUGCUCCAGAGUGUCUUGACUCAGCCCUUUUUGAGUUUGCAAUGGGAAGUAUGAAUUGCAAAAAUGAGCCCACGCCUGACACCAGCAGAAAGAGAAGCCUGUUGACGACUAAUUUCCAGCAGCGGGAUAUUACCAAGGAGGAUACCACCAUCCCACAGUGCGGGUCAGUCACCUCAGGACCCAUGCUGCCUUUCUACGUCCUUUGACCAGAACAGGCUCCAUAACUGCCCAACAGGAACCUGGCGUCAUACAGUUCACCCCCUACCUCUUAGCCCUGAGGUGUGUGUAUGCCAUCAUUGCAGGUGUUUACCUCCAAACCAACCCGAAGAACCCCUGCCAUGGCAACACAAUCACACACUAUGUGGUCAACACAGGAAAUGCAAAUGCGAACACCUGAGUGAAUACCUCAGGGAACAAUUAAUUUAAGGAUUAGCAUUAAUGAAGUAAUGUUCUGCUUGUUUGUUUAACAACAUAUGACCAACUUGAUUGUGUAUGUUUUAUUUAGUUUAGUUUGGAUUACUUCUAAAAUAAACUUUUAUACAUUAAUAAAGAA
ensembl:lncRNA